rnacentral:lncRNA from 1 species
CUCACUGGAAGGUAGACCUCUUUCAAACGAAGCCUAAACCCAAGACAAUUUCCAGCCACAGCCCUCAAUGACAUCCCCGUGACAGAGUGGAUCCCGUCCCAGAAGCACGCUGGCUCUGGGAUGAGGCAGCCGACGAACUCGACGGGAGCCUACCUUGCACAGAAGGAUUCACAGAAACGGGAGCCUACCUUGCACAGACGGGCUCACGGCCUCCGAAGCCCGGAGAAGUGCUGGUCCGGGGGUCACGGAGCGCGGGAUGCCCGCGGCUGGUCCGGGNNNNNNNNNNGGCUGGUCCGGGGGUCACGGAGCGCGGGAUGCCCGCGGCUGGUCCGGCGGGCACAGGGAGCAGGGUCCCGCUCGCUCGGGCUCUCACAGGUGCCAGCGCGCGUCUCCUCGGCUCUCAGAGUUUGUCAUGAAUGUCCCCAGCUGGGUCCCAGCGAUCCCGAACACCUCGGAGCCGGCAGCCCACGGCCCCGUGGUCCGCUCCCAACUUCUCCUUGCCUCACUCUCUGGGAAGUUCGGCAGAGCCGCGGCGCCGAGCGGGCUCCGCUCUCUGCGAAAACUCGCCUGCCCCACCUAGAGGAGCCCCGCAGGAUGAGGAGGAGUCCCGCGGCCGUGCCCGCCACCGCCGAGCUCGGAUUUGGCUGGCGAACAGAAGAGCAUCUAGGCUGUGCCAAGAGAAAAAUCACAAUGCAAUAUGGGUGCCCAAGGUCCUGCCUCUGAGUGAACUUCUCACAGUUUGGUUUAAGUCCACAUCCUUUCAGAGCUGACAUCUGGCCCAGAGAAGCUGCUCUGCAAAGACACUGUGUGAAUAAGAGAAACUCAUAUUUUGAUGACCCAGCCACAGUAGAAAAGUAAACGUGAAAGAAGAAGAGCUACCUUUGUCAAAGAGCCACCAAACUGACUGUGUGUUUUUUAAGCUGCCACAUUGAUUCCUGGCAUCAGGAUGAAAGGACUAACUACCCCUUGCAGCCCUUAAGACAACCAUAUGUCACCCACCCUCUCUGACAUGAGAAAUUCCUGCACUGAGCACCCAGUUGGAAUGAGGGGACAUGUAGGCAUCAGUGACAAAAUAUGUAUAUACAGCCAGUAGGAAGGAAAGGAAGAAUGAGCCGUGGUGAACCUAUAAACUCUGGACUUGUGAGCUUCUCACUGCUUACGUUUUCAAUCAGAAUGGAGGUCUACAUGGCACAUGAAUAUCUGUUGUCACAUAAUCAUCCUUCCACCCUACCUUUGGUCCCACCAGAGGCAGCCCAAGGGCACAGCAUGUCACUGCAAUAUUUUUUAAGUUUGUCCAAAGGGCCUGUGUCUUCCCUCAAGUCAUGGGAGAGGUAGAAUGACCUGACAAGUGCCUGUACUACAUGCCUAAAACAGACAGUGGGUUUGCCUGGCAUGUAUCUGUUCUUGCUGCUGCUAAGUAAAGCUGAUGGAGC